AACGUAGGAGACAAACGUUAUCCGGAGUUACUGGGCGUAAAGGGCGUGUAGGUGGUUUCGUAAGUCUGGCGUGAAAUUUUUCGGCUUAACCGGGAAAGGUCGUCGGAUACUGCGGAGCUAGAGGACGGUAGAGGCGUGUGGAAUUCCGGGUGAGUGGUGAAAUGCGUAGAGAUCCGGAGGAACACCAGUGGCGAAGGCGACACGCUGGGCCGUACCUGACACUGAUGCGCGACAGCAUGGGGAGCAAACAGG
rnacentral:rRNA from 1 species